CUCUAGUUCUCCCGUCUAGGAGUCUCCGACAUCUGCAGGAGGAACCAGUUGUCCGCGGGCCGCGUCCGUGGGCCACUUCAGCCUUCAGCCUUCAAGGUCAGCCGGCUGCUCCGCCUUCAGCUCAAGGUUUGUGCUUGGAAUUUAAAUUGCAGAAAUUGGUCUGUUGCAACUGUUUUUGUUGAUAACAAGAGGGAUUGUGCUUGACAGAGAGCUGACCACCCAUCUAGCACCCUUGGUGUUGCAGCUGGUUCUUCAUUGCUUGCACUGAAAAGUAUUAUAUACCACCCCUUCUC